GACGUAGGGCGCGAGCGUUGUCCGGAUUUAUUGGGCGUAAAGAGCUCGUAGGCGGCUUGUCGCGUCGAAUGUGAAAACCCGAGGCUCAACUUCGGGCUUGCAUUCGAUACGGGCAGGCUCGAGUUCGGUAGGGGAGACUGGAAUUCCUGGUGUAGCGGUGAAAUGCGCAGAUAUCAGGAGGAACACCGGUGGCGAAGGCGGGUCUCUGGACAGAUACUGACGCUGAGGCGCGAAAGCGUGGGGAGCAAACAGG
rnacentral:rRNA from 1 species